GAAAUAACUGAUAAGAUCACAAGACCAUCGGAACACUGGAGAAAGUAUGAGUAACUGAACACUGGUGUCUAGCACCAGGAUCAGAGCAUGGGAGGAGUGACAGGAAAUAUAAGAGAAAAAAAAAGACAUGGAAAUAACCCCUACCUGCCUUUACUGAGUUUAUUAUCUUGUCUGGCUAAGACUUGGAAAGAGAAGAGACUCUUAUCCUAGACUUGCAGAAGUUUCUCCAGCACUAGGUCUGUGGCUGGGCUGUAAGAAGAAUGAACCUCCCAAGAAGCAGCUGGUAGCAGUACAGAGAGGUACUCUUUGGAUAACCAACCCUUUCAGGGAUCCAGCAACAAUGCAGAGAACAAAACUUGGAACCCACCUCCUCCAGGAGCCCUAAACCAUGAGCCCUGAGUGAUUACUCUCUCCUCUGAAACCCUACGGAACUGAAUCCUAUACCAUUCAUUCAGAAAUUAUUCUCUGCUUCCUUUUUUUGUUUACUUACAACCUCUUCAACCAGUAAGCUUCUCACAGUUAAGAACUCUUAUAUUAUUUCCCUUAUCUCAGAGCCUGUGUCAUGAUACAUUAGCUCUUCAAUAAAUAUUAAAUAUCAAUAUUGA